rnacentral:rRNA from 2 species
GGUGUGUAAGCGCAGCGAUGCGUUGAGCUAACCGGUACUAAUGAACCGUGAGGCUUAACCUUACAACGCCGAAGGUGUUU